rnacentral:rRNA from 1 species
UACGGGGGGAGCAAGCGUUGUUCGGAUUUACUGGGCGUAAAGGGCGCGUAGGCGGUCGUGACAAGUCACUUGUGAAAUCUCCGGGCUUAACUCGGAACGGUCAAGUGAUACUGUCGGACUAGAGUACAGAAGGGGCAACUGGAAUUCUCGGUGUAGCGGUGAAAUGCGUAGAUAUCGAGAGGAACACCUGCGGCGAAGGCGGGUUGCUGGGCUGAUACUGACGCUGAGGCGCGAAGCCAGGGAGCGAACGGG